CAAGAUGUAGCUUAAUUAAAGCCCCUUGCUUACACCAAGAAUAUGUCCACUGAUACAGACCAUUUUGA
rnacentral:tRNA from 1 species